GGUCAAGCUACAAAGGGCUAACGGAGGAUACCU
rnacentral:rRNA from 1 species